UACAGAGGUCUCAAGCGUUAAUCGGAAUUACUGGGCUUAAAGGGUCCGCAGGCGGUCUGACAAGUACCUUGUGAAAUAUCAGGUCUCAACCCUGAAACUGCUCGGUAGACUGUCAGACUUGAGUGCAAAAGGGGUCGCUGGAACUCUAGGUGGAGCGGUGAAAUGCGUAGAUAUCUAGAGGAACGCCAAAGGUGAAGACAGGCGACUGGUUUGCAACUGACGCUCGAUGGACGAAAGCGUGGGGAUCAAACGGG
rnacentral:rRNA from 1 species